rnacentral:lncRNA from 1 species
GGGUUCCUUGAACCCCAAGAAGACUACGUCGUUGAAGAAAAAUCCCAGAGCUUCAAGCUAGUGCCUUGGAUUAGUUGGGACGAGUGGAACUUUGUUAAAACCUCCCUCUUUUCGUCUUCUGCAGAUUCUAUAAACUCUGCCCUCCAAAGAGUAAUUAUGGACUGAAUAAAUAUAUAAAAUAUAUAAAAUUGAGAAUUGUGUCUUCAUUUUUUAUAUAAUUUAUGUGUAGUUUUAGUUUUAUUAAUGAAAUUGUUUUUUUUUAUUUUGGUGGAUUUUUAGAUAUCGACGUGGAGGAGCAGAGGGUGCAUUCCGGUGGUGAUUGAAGUCACUGCAUCUAUUAUCGAAAUUCAACAGAAAGAUCCUUUCUUCAGGUGUGCUUUAUUUUCUUUUAAAUUAAAAU